AUCACUCACUGUGGGGAAAGCUGGCUGCCAUGAUGUGAGAACACUCAACAAGUCCUAUGGGGAGACCCACAUGGUGAGGAACUGAGGCCACCUGCCAAAGGCAGUGUGAGGGCGCCAUCUUGAAAGUGGACCCUCCAGCCCCAGGCAAGCCUUCACAUAAGACUGCAGCCCCAGCUGAUAUCUUGACUGCCACCUCAUGAAAGACCAUGAACCACAGCCAUCCAGCUAUGCUGCUCCAAGUUCCUGACUCACAGAAACUAGUUUGAUGGAAGCAAGAAACAAAAUCGACUCUUCAGUUUUGAAAUAUACAGGAAGACUGGCUUCCGUCUUGUGGCACUCUCUUGUUUUCUUGUCUGUUGGCUGCAUCGAAACAACGAUCGUGUGUGAGCUACCCUAAAGAGAAUCACACGUGGUGAUGAACUGACAGAGGCCUCCGGCCAAUAGCUAAUGAGGAACUGAGGCCCUCGGUGUCACAGCCCAUGAGGAACCGAUCCUGCCCCCACCACUGAUUUCACUUGGAAGUGGAUCCUGCCCCGUUGGAACCUUGAGAUGAGCCCACAGCUGUGGUUGACACCUUGGUUGCAUCUGUGAGAGGCCGUCAGCCAGAGGACCCGGCUCAGCCACGCCUGGAUUCCUGUCCCACUGAAACUGGAACCCAGCAAGUCACGGGACACCCUGAAAUGUAAUUAGUCCGGCAAGGGAGUUUCUGACUGGGCCCCGGGGACCCGCGAUGAGGGACAAUUGUAGGUGCCUUUGUCUCUUUGCGAUUCGAGGUUGGGUGUGGACGGAAGAACAAAGGUGCAGAAGGAGGCGGGAAAAGACACAGACGCAAGCUGAGGCGGCCGUGGGAAAUACCACAGGAGUUCAGGAUAUGAAAUCAGGCUAGGGUCUCAGGUUCCCUUCACCCCGCCAUGUGGCCUCGAAGAUGGUGUUCAGCCCUGCUGGGUCCCUGUGUCUUCGUCUCUACCCUAGGCACGGCACACUUUUCCUCUCUAUCGUGCAGCGAAGAGUAAAUCCAAAAGCACACGGAAGGAGACCAUGACAGGGCCUUUGUUAUUUGUGCCAAACGCACCUUCACCGGGUGCCCCCCACGCCAUGGCCCGUGCCCGGGCCAUGGCGCUGGGCACGAGCCCUACCCUCCGGCGUGGUGGCAGGCCAGCAGGCAGUAUACGUUGUCGCAGGUGCACACAUCGCAGGUGCAACAAGAGAGCAGGACUUUUCCUAGACUGGAGGUCAGAGAAGAAGGUAGGGUGAGAGCAUGUGCAGAGAUGCUGAGGCCAGACAGUGCCUGGAGGGUGCUGAGAUUGAAGGGCCCCCCGUUUGAACGUGCCAGAGGAAGCGAGUGUCCCGGAAUGGCAGGAGCGAGCCCAGGCAGGGUCUCAGGCCAGCUGAGGCCAAUGGACUGAUUCCAGGGCCAUAGGGAGUCAUUAAAGGCAAUCAAUCAAGGGAUGGGGGCGGGCAGGCGUAGCUGAGGGCGCAAGAAACAUCUUAGAACA